GACGAACGCUGGCGGCGUGCUUAACACAUGCAAGUCGAGCGAUGAAUUUUCUUCGGAAAUGGAUUAGCGGCGAACGGGUGAGGAACACGUGAAGAAUCUGCCCUCCACUUUGGGAUAACACAGGAAACCUGUGCUAAUACCGAAUAUUGAAACCUAAGUGGCAUCACAGAGUUUUUAAAGAAUUUCGGUGGAGGAUGACUUCGCGGCCUAUCAGCUAGUUGGUGAGGUAAUGGCUCACCAAGGCAACGACGGGUAGCCGGCCUGAGAGGGCGAACGGCCACACUGGGACUGAGACACGGCCCAGACUCCUACGGGAGGCAGCAGUGGGGAAUAUUGGGCAAUGGAGGAAACUCUGACCCAGCGAUGCCGCGUGCGGGAUGAAGGCCUUCGGGUUGUAAACCGCUUUCAGUAGGGAAGAAGCGAAAGUGACGGUACCUACAAAAGAAGCACCGGCUAACUAUGUGCCAGCCGCCGCCGUAA
rnacentral:rRNA from 1 species